rnacentral:rRNA from 1 species
UACGUAGGGCGCAAGCGUUGUCCGGAAUUAUUGGGCGUAAAGAGCUCGUAGGCGGCCUGUUACGUCUGCUGUGAAAUCCCGGGGCUUAACCCCGGGCGUGCAGUGGAUACGGGCAGGCUGGAGGCAGGCAGGGGAGAACGGAAUUCCCGGUGUAGCGGUGAAAUGCGCAGAUAUCGGGAGGAACACCAAUGGCGAAGGCAGCUCGCUGGGACGUGACUGACGCUGAGACGCGAAAGCGUGGGGAGCAAACAGG